GUCCGCAUCGAUUAUUGGUUAAAUCAUUUCGUUGUGGUGAUAAGCGCUCCGAGAAGCCGCAGGCUCGAGUCCUGCUACGGACA